AAAAUCAUACUUUACACAAUCAUUUCUGUAGUAUGCGUCCUCCCUUUUAUGUGCAAAGUUGGAGCUAUCAUUGGCCCCUACGAUGAGACUUAGUUCAUGUAUCUGAGCAUGCUACGCAGUUGGACUAUUCAGCGGUGUUGCGCAAGAUAUAUAAAGUAUGUAGACGGUCUAAGUGGU